rnacentral:rRNA from 1 species
CCUACGAGAGGCAGCAGUGAGGAAUAUUGGUCAAUGGGCGAGAGCCUGAACCAGCCAAGUCGCGUGAGGGCAGACGGUCCUAUGGAUUGUAAACCUCUUUUGUCGGGGAGCAAAAAGGCCUCGUGAGGCCACAAGUGAGAGUACCCGAAGAAAAAGCAUCGGCUAACUCCGUGCCAGCAGCCGCGGUAAUACGGAGGAUGCGAGCGUUAUCCGGAUUUUUUGGGUUUAAAGGGUGCGUAGGCGGACUGGAAAGUCAGCGGUAAAAGCGAGAGGCUCAACCUCGUUCCGCCGUUGAAACUGUCGGUCUUGAGUGGGCGAGAAGUAUGCGGAAUGCGUGGUGUAGCGGUGAAAUGCAUAGAUAUCACGCAGAACUCCGAUUGCGAAGGCAGCAUACCGGCGCCCGACUGACGCUGAGGCACGAAAGCGUGGGUAUCGAACAGGAUUAGAUACCCCAGUAGUC